ACUCCUACGGGAGGCAGCAGUGGGGAAUAUUGCACAAUGGGGAAACCCUGAUGCAGCCAUGCCGCGUGUGUGAAGAAGGCCUCGGUUGUAAGACACUUCAGUCGGAGGAAGGUAGUGUAGUUAACACCUGCAUUAUUUGUACGUUACCUACAGAAGAAGCACCGGCUAACUCCGUGCCAGCAGCCGCGGUAAUACGGAGGGGUGCGAGCGUUAAUCGGAAUUACUGGGCGUAAAGCGCAUGCAGGCGGCCUGUUAAGUCAGAUGUGAAAGCCCGGGGGCUUAACCUCGGAAUUGCAUUUGAAACUGGCAGGCUAGAGUCUUGUAGAGGGGGUAGAAUUUCAGGUGUAGCGGUGAAAUGCGUAGAGAUCUGAAGGAAUACCAGU
rnacentral:rRNA from 1 species